CCCGAAUCCAAUUUUGCAUAUGCAAAUUAGGGUUGUCGGCCGAAUCAGAAUCCUUCUGAAAAAGGCCAGAUCUCGAACUGAAUCCUGGAUUCGGUGCAUCUCUACUUAUAAUCAAGGUUUUUUCCCCUAUAUGUUUUAUGUAUAUUUUUACCCUCACAAGAUACAAUCGAUAUGUUGAGCACUUGAGAUUCUAAUAGGAAUGUUCCGGAAAUAUCCAACCCCCUUGGCUCAGCGAUCAGGUCAUUUACAGUCUGGCCGCCUGGGUGUCCCGAAUGCACAGCAGGAACCUUUGCACAAACAUUCUCAGUUGCACUGCCUUCCCCAGGAAGGGACCGUCGGAACAGGAAGUGCACAUUAAAAAGAUCGCCCCCAUGGAAAAAAAAAAAAUUCUUACAAUGUACAGAAAAAGGAAAGCUCAAAUGCUUGUGUUUAAAGUACAGCAUCAAUAAAACUAUAAAUGAAUAAUUUACGUAAGGGCGGAGCUAAUUUUUUUCUUGAUACUUUUUAGGCAGAUAUCGGUCGUGCCCGUUUUGGCCUAAACAAAUAAAUGUUCUCUAACAAGCACUUUUACAAUGUAUAUUGAUUUUUAUUUAUAAUUUUCAAGAUAUCCGCAGUUUUAAACUGCUAAUAUAAUGAAUUUGACUAUGAUAAAAUCAUUUCUUAAAAAAAAAAAAGGAACAAUGUUGCUCUGCUUAAAUUGACCAGAGGAACGUCACAUGACUAUUCUGUGCUCACUGCAGUUAAAAAAGUGCUAAUAUCUUGAAAACUAUUUUUAAAAAUGCAAAAGUGCUCAGAAGAGUAAAAUCAGAAUUAUUUCUGUGGUACUGCAACUCCCUGGCACUCCCAAAGGCUGUCUGGGAGUUGUAGUUCAGCAACAGAUUAUAGAAUGAAAGGUUUGACAUCCCUAAUUUAUAUAUUUCCCAGAUACAGGUCCCAACCUCUCCGCCCUCCUCUCUUACCCCACCCCUAUUUAAUGCCAAAUCUUGACCCCAAUUACUCAUUCUCUCUUUUAGUUCUUCCGCUUUUUUUUUUUUUUUUUAAUUUAAAAAAAAUGUACCCCCCUAUCCCUGAUAAUUCCAAGAAGUAUUCGACGAUUGCCAAUGUACAGAAUCAGAUUUUCUUAAGAAUGGGAAAAUGAUAAUCUCUAUAAUUGAUAUAUAUUCGCGUAUAUAUCUCUUCUGUAUUUUCUGUAAAGCAGAGUUUUCUUCUGUGUUUUUUUGUGUAUUCACAAGGUGAUAUUUGUAAUGUUAAAAAAAAAAAAAAAACUAUUGGUGAUUGAAUAAAAAUGAUAGAAAAAAAAAUACUCAAACAGAAAACACUUGAAAUUGUGUUUGUGCUUGUGUCUAGAGCGUUCCCUUUGUUACCUCUGUCUCUGUCUAUUUAUGGUCUUAAUAAACCCCGCCCCCUACAAGAUUUCUGAAGAUGUUCGUAUGAUUUUGAUUUAUUCUUUUUGACCCUCCUAUGCUUCCUUACUACUUCUUUUACAGUCCCUCUCCUUUUUUUAUUUUUAUUUUUUUUGUCGUUUCCAGAACUGUUAAUAAAAAUAAAUUUAUAUUUAA